UCAAGUUAAUAAGAGCUUUGGGUGGAUACCUAGACAUUCAGAAGCGAUGAAGGGCGUGGUUACCGACGAAACACUUCGGGGAGCUGGAAACAAGCUUCGAUCCGGAGAUUCCCGAAUGAGGAAACUCUUAUACUCUUUUUUCGAAUAUAUAGAUCAAAGAGAGCGAACCUGGUGAAUUGAAACAUCUUAGUAACCAGAGGAAAAGAAAGCAAAAGCGAUUCUCUUAGUAGCGGCGAGCGAAAGGGGAACAGCCUGCAAGUGAUAGCAGAAGUGUUAGUGGAAUAGUCUGGAAAGUCUAGCGAUACAGGGUGAUAGCCCCGUACACGAAAACACAUCUGUGGUACUAAGCUUGCGAUAAGUAGGUCGGGACACGUGUUAUCUUGACUGAAGAUGGGGGGACCAUCCUCCAAGGCUAAAUACUACCAAUUGACCGAUAGUGAACCAGUACCGUGAGGGAAAGGCGAAAAGAACCCCUGUGAGGGGAGUGAAAUAGAACCUGAAACCGUAUACGUACAAGCAGUAGGAGCAGACUUGUUCUGUGACUGCGUACCUUUUGUAUAAUGGGUCAGCGACUUAUAUUUAGUAGCAAGGUUAACCGAAUAGGGGAGCCGUAGCGAAAGCGAGUGUUAACUGCGCGUUUAGUUGCUAGGUAUAGACCCGAAACCGAGUGAUCUAGCCAUGGGCAGGUUGAAGGUUGAGUAACAUCAACUGGAGGACCGAACCGACUAACGUUGAAAAGUUAGCGGAUGACUUGUGGCUGGGGGUGAAAGGCCAAUCAAACUCGGAAAUAGCUCGUACUCCCCGAAAUGCAUUUAGGUGCAGCGUUGCGUGGUUCUUGUUGGAGGUAGAGCACUGGAUGGUCUAGGGGGCUUAUCGGCUUACCGAAAUCAGCCAAACUCCGAAUGCUGGCAAGUGUAGCGUGGCAGUGAGACGGCGGGGGAUAAGCUUCGUCGUCGAGAGGGAAACAGCCCAGAUCAUCAGCUAAGGCCCCUAAGUGGUGACUCAGUGGGAAAGGAUGUGGAGUUGCGUAGACAACCAGGAGGUUGGCUUGGAAGCAGCCAUCCUUGAAAGAGUGCGUAAUAGCUCACUGGUCGAGUGGUUCUGCGCCGAGAAUGUAGUGGGGCUUAAGUACACCGCCGAAGCCGCGGCGCCAUGUUUUGUGCAUGGUGGGUAGGGGAGCGUCGUGCGUGUGGUGAAGCUGCCUGGUGAUGGGUGGUGGAGUGCGUGCGAGUGAGAAUGCAGGCAUGAGUAACGAUGAAUCAGGUGAGAAUCCUGGUGGCCGUAUGACUAAGGGUUCCUGGGUGAAGUUUGUCUGCUCAGGGUGAGUCGGGUCCUAAGGCGAGGCCGUCGGGCGUAGUCGAUGGGAAACGGGUUGAUAUUCCCGUACCGGUGCUGCCGCGUUCUUAUGGUGACGCGUUGAUACUAACUGUGCCGCAUCCCGGAUCGACAGCCUUUCGGGGUUGUUGGUUUUUGCGGGGUGUGGUGUGGGGCCUGAUGCGUGGUAGCCAAGUGAUGGGGUGACGCAGUGUGGUAGCCACGCCUCCGGUUGGUUGUGGGGGUGUAAGCGUGUGGCCCGUGUGGUUGGUAAAUCCGCCGCACAUUGUGGGUGAGGCGUGAUGCGUAGCCGCGUUUGUGGUGAUGGUGGUGAUCCUGUGCUGUCGAGAAAAGCCUCUAAGCGAGUGGUGGUGUUGCCCGUACCCGAAACCGACGCUGGUAGUUGGGUUGAGUAUACUAAGGCUUGCGGGUGAACUGUGGUUAAGGAAUUCGGCAAAUUGUCCCCGUAACUUUGGGAGAUGGGGAGCCACCUUGGGUCGCCGACUCUUGCGGUUGGUGGGCGUGGGGUGGUCGCAGAGGCUAGGGGAAAGCGACUGUUUACUAAAAACACAGGUCCGUGCGAAAACUUAUGUUGAUGUAUACGGACUGACGCCUGCCCGGUGCUGGAAGGUUACGAGGAGCUGUGGGCCCAUCUUUGGUGGGUGUAGCGGUGAAUUUAAGCCCCAGUAAACGGCGGUGGUAACUAUAACCAUCCUAAGGUAGCGAAAUUCCUUGUCGGGUAAGUUCCGACCCGCACGAAAGGCGUAACGAUCUGGGCGCUGUCUCAGAGAGAGACUCGGCGAAAUAGAUAUGUCUGUGAAGAAGCGGACUACCUGCACCUGGACAGAAAGACCCUAUGAAGCUUUACUGUAGCUUGAAAUUGUUUUCACGUCUUGUACGCGCAGAAUAGGUGGGAGACUAAGAAAGAAUCUCUUCGGGGGUUCUGGAGUCACACGUGAGAUACCACUCUUGCAAGACUAGAAUUCUAACCUCAGACCGUUAUCCGGCUGAGGGACCAUUUUAGGUGGGCAGUUUGACUGGGGCGGUCGCCUCCCAAAAGGUAACGGAGGCGUGCAAAGGUUUCCUCAGGUUGGUUGGACAUCAACCUUCGAGCGCAAAGGUAUAAGGAAGCUUGAUUGCGAGACCUACAAGUCGAGCAAAGACGAAAGUCGGCCUUAGUGAUCCGACACUACCGAGUGGAAGGAGUGUCGCUCAACGGAUAAAAGUUACUCUAGGGAUAACAGGCUGAUCUCUCCCAAGAGUCCAUAUCGACGGAGAGGUUUGGCACCUCGAUGUCGGCUCGUCGCAUCCUGGGGCGGUAGUACGUCCCAAGGGUUGGGCUGUUCGCCCAUUAAAGCGGCACGCGAGCUGGGUUUAGAACGUCGUGAGACAGUUCGGUCCCUAUCUGGUGUGGGCGUUGGAUGAUUGAAGGGAGCUGCUCCUAGUACGAGAGGACCGGAGUGGACGAACCGCUGGUGUUCGGGUUGUUUUGCCAAAGGCAUUGCCCGGUAGCUACGUUCGGAAUCGAUAAGCGCUGAAAGCAUCUAAGCGCGAAGCCUCUUCCAAGAUUAGAUCUCCCUGGGGCCUUGAGCCCCCUAAAGAGCCGUUCAAGACCAGGACGUUGAUAGGCAGGGUGUGUAAGUGCUGCGAGGCAUUGAGCUAACCUGUACUAAUUGCUCGUGAGGCUUGA
rnacentral:rRNA from 1 species